CCUACGGGAGGCAGCAGUGGGGAAUAUUGGACAAUGGGCGAAAGCCUGAUCCAGCAAUGCCGCGUGAGUGAUGAAGGCCUUAGGGUUGUAAAGCUCUUUUACCAGGGAUGAUAAUGACAGUACCUGGAGAAUAAGCUCCGGCUAACUCCGUGCCAGCAGCCGCGGUAAUACGGAGGGAGCUAGCGUUGUUCGGAAUUACUGGGCGUAAAGCGUACGUAGGCGGUUAUUCAAGUCAGAGGUGAAAGCCUGGAGCUCAACUCCAGAACUGCCUUUGAAACUAGAUAGCUAGAAUCUUGGAGAGGUGAGUGGAAUUCCGAGUGUAGAGGUGAAAUUCGUAGAUAUUCGGAAGAACACCAGUGGCGAAGGCGACUCACUGGACAAGUAUUGACGCUGAGGUACGAAAGCGUGGGGAGCAAACAGGAUUAGAUACCCUGGUAGUCCACGCCGUAAACGAUGAUAACUAGCUGUUCGGGCUCUACGAGCUUGAGUGGCGCNGCUACGCAUUAAGUUAUCCGCCGUGGGAGGUACGGUCGCGAGAAUUAAAACGUUAAAAGGUAAAGUUAGUACGGCGUGAGACGUGCCGAACGGACGACGACGAGGGAGGUAGG
rnacentral:rRNA from 1 species